rnacentral:lncRNA from 1 species
AUGUGGCCAGUAGCUCCUUCCUUAAUUACUGCUUCUUCUCAAGUUACAGCACCGGAAGAAUUACGCAGCGGUGCUGCCCGGCUGACGCUGGCUGCUCCAUGCAAGAAGCACGUCCUUUGCACGUGGUCGAAGCCGUGUCAGAGCAGCCGCGCAGGGGCUGCCUGGGCUGAUACACACAAUCCUUUCAUUGUGUCCAGCCAGUCUGGGGAAGGCUUCUGCGUUUUGUGUCAUCGGUCAAAACGUCAGCAUGGUUAUUUUGCCCACAGAGCAGCCCCCGAGCCGUACCUUGGAAGCAAGGUUUCAAACAUCUGGCUCCCUUCUUGCGACACGCUUAUCUCAUGCCGGUCUCCGAGGCUGAUGCUGGCUGUGUUGUUUCAGGAGACUGAUGGAUGCUGCUGCAUGAUGGGCUGCCAGAAGCCACCUCUGACAACUCCUUCAUGCAAGCGCCUGGUUAUCGUGGUUUCGAUCUACUAAUCCUAUUUCGAAGCGAAUAAUUCAAGGGCCUCCUGUUCCUCUGCCCACCGCCUGCCAGGUAAGUGGGUUCCCAGAAGGCCGAUAAGAUGGGCCUGGGGGAGGUCUUGCCACCUCUGUGCCACAACAUCGCCUGAGGCUGUGACUC